rnacentral:lncRNA from 1 species
AGACUAUUUCAUCAAGCAAAAGGAAUUCUGGUUUGUAUAUCCUGAGUCUAUGUCUCUCAUUAGGUUUCAGGCAUUCAGUAUAAACUAAGAGUUUGUGUCUUAAGCUAUCAAUAAGCUAUUUUCCAAAUCUAGACAAAAAUGGGACCCAGGGCCAUCACUGGGAAAAGAUACAGUUCAAAUGUCCUUAACAAAUCGCCUUGUCACCUUUGUGAGCUCCCAUUGCAGAAUCAAUUCAGCUAUAUUAUCGCCUAAUACCGGUUCCUAUACAUCAAAGACCUAAAGCAGAACACAGCUUAAGCUGCAGAGACUGACUCCCCACUCCUGCUGCCCUAGGUGAAGGAUGUAAAUGGGUGUGCCUCUUGAAUUAAGAUGGAAAGCUGGCUUUAAACCACUUGGACUGAGCCAGCUUGCAGCAAACUAUGGGGGAACUGAAGAAUCAACAUGGAAGUCACUUUCAAACAUGCAGAAAUGGAUCCCACCAAUGAAAUGCAAAACAGUGGAAGGUAUUAUCUCUUGACUUUGGCAAUGGAUGUGUUGGGGAAAGGGCUCAGGCAGUGCCAGGAGCAUCAAACGGUGAAGACUAGAACCCCACAGGUGGAGGAACUGGCAGCAUAUGGAGAGGUGUGCUUGGGCCAGGUGUGGCCAGACAUAUCAAGUCCUGCAGUUGCUGUGAUCCUGCAGAGAGCUCACUCUCCAAGGGCUCAGGCUGAGCUGUCCUCCAGGUCUGGGCUUAGUAGAGAAUUUGAGAGUGUCCAGGACCCAAGCACCCUCUAGUUUGCUGCUCCACCAUCUUGAGGAUGCUACACUGCAUGGUCCGAGAAGGCUCAGCACCGUGUCUACAUUCUAGUCACUAAGAGAAGGGAAGGAAGGGAGGAAGGAUAUAUAUAUCCCAUUCCUGUAAGUAGUAUGUAUAACAUUGCUAGCAUCUCACUGACCAGAAGUAUCACCGCAUCUCAUGGCAAAGGAGGUUAGGAAAUGUGAAAUCUUUUAAAUCUACAUAUAGCCAUGUGUCUAAUUAAAAAUUAUAUUACUAUGGAAGAAGGGAGGUAUGGAUAUUAGGAGAUAACUUGAAGACUCUGCCACAGUCAGUACCUUUAGAACAAUUCUCUUGGGCUAGUGAAAUCCCACAGAAAAGAUUCUUCCUAAAUCUUGACUAGAAAAUUAUAAGCCUAGUUGUCAGAGUUCUAGGCAUUGAAUGAGACGAAAAAUUGGGAUGGGCUAGUGCUUGUAGUGGUGACUGGGUCUCAUGAUAUAAUGUGUAAAGUUUUAUUCACUCAUGCCACACAUUAUCUCAUCCAAAGACCAGCUCUCCAGAAGCAAUCUAGAUUUUGGCUCAGGGUUUGGAGGUUAGCUGACUGGGUUCUUGAACAGUAAAUUGUUUUUCUGCAUGAGUGAGAGGGCUGCAAAUCUAAUUUUCAACUAAUCUUUGUGUUUUCAGUCCCCUUUUCACUGCUAGUUCCAGAGAUAGUUGUCUCCAGCUUCUUAGUAUAAUAGAAAUUGGGCUGCUUCUCAGAUUUCCUCACUCUUAACUUAGGAUUAAGCUUUCUCAAGUCCCCUAAGUCAUUAACCACUUAUUCAUCUGCUCUAUAGCUUCUAAAAUUUUGUUUUUAUUGACUUCUCACCCAUGUUCUCUGUCUGAUAGGUUUAAACUUAAAAAAAAUUGCUUACUUUUCUUAGUGGGAAGAAACAGAAAUAACUGGAGAGAGUCAACCCAUCAUCUUUAACCUAAAAUAUAAAUUGUUCUUUACAGCCAUUUAUUUUAAUACCUCACUACUUUUAUUCUCAGAACAUCUAUUAACAUUUCCCAUGGAAAAUAAAAGACUGAUGAGAUGAUGAUGGUGAUAUGAA